UAGCCGGACUGAGAGGUUGAACGGCCACAUUGGGACUGAGACACGGCCCAGACUCCUACGGGAGGCAGCAGUGGGGAAUAUUGCACAAUGGGGGAAACCCUGAUGCAGCGACGCCGCGUGGAGGAAGAAGGUCUUCGGAUUGUAAACUCCUGUUGUUGAGGAAGAUAAUGACGGUACUCAACAAGGAAGUGACGGCUAACUACGUGCCAGCAGCCGCGGUAAAACGUAGGUCACAAGCGUUGUCCGGAAUUACUGGGUGUAAAGGGAGCGCAGGCGGGAAGACAAGUUGGAAGUGAAAUCCAUGGGCUCAACCCAUGAACUGCUUUCAAAACUGUUUUUCUUGAGUAGUGCAGAGGUAGGCGGAAUUCCCGGUGUAGCGGUGGAAUGCGUAGAUAUCGGGAGGAACACCAGUGGCGAAGGCGGCCUACUGGGCACCAACUGACGCUGAGGCUCGAAAGUGUGGGUAGCAAACAGGAUUAGAUACCCUGGUAGUCCACACUGUAAACGAUGAUUACUAGGUGUUGGAGGAUUGACCCCUUCAGUGCCGCAGUUAACACAAUAAGUAAUCCACCUGGGGAGUACGACCGCAAGGUUGAAACUCAAAGGAAUUGACGGGGGCCCGCACAAGCAGUGGAGUAUGUGGUUUAAUUCGACGCAACGCGAAGAACCUUACCAAGUCUUGACAUCCUGCGACGCACAUAGAAAUAUGUGUUUCCUUCGGGACGCAGAGACAGGUGGUGCAUGGUUGUCGUCAGCUCGUGUCGUGAGAUGUUGGGUUAAGUCCCGCAACGAGCGCAACCCUU
rnacentral:rRNA from 1 species